CCAGACUCCUACGGGAGGCAGCAGUGGGGAAUAUUGGACAAUGGGGGGAACCCUGAUCCAGCGACGCUGCGUGAGUGAAGAAGUAUUUCGGUAUGUAAAGCUCUAUCAGCAGGGAAGAAAGAAAUGACGGUACCUGACUAAGAAGCCCCGGCUAACUACGUGCCAGCAGCCGCGGUAAUACGUAGGGGGCAAGCGUUAUCCGGAUUUACUGGGUGUAAAGGGAGCGCAGACGGCAGUGCAAGUCUGGAGUGAAAGCCCGGGGCCCAACCCCGGAACUGCUCUGGAAACUGUGCGGCUAGAGUACUGGAGGGGCAGGCGGAAUUCCUAGUGUAGCGGUGAAAUGCGUAGAUAUUAGGAGGAACACCAGUGGCGAAGGCGGCCUGCUGGACUGAAACUGACGCUGAGGCACGAAAGCGUGGGGAGCGAACAGGAUUAGAUACCCUUGUA
rnacentral:rRNA from 1 species